CGCCCCGGCCUUCCGGGAGGGGCGUUGUAGGUACCGAGGGGGAAGAAGAGCGGAGGGCAGGGAUGCAGUCGCCGCAGGCGGGCCGAAUAAUGAGCAGGCUUUCUGGUUAGCCCGGAAACAGCAAUGAACAAAACAGAUGGGGCCCUGCUGUCUUGGAGCUUACAAUCUGGACUGGAGGAGCAACUGGAGGAAGAGUCACAUGGGAUGAGAUGGAUGAAGACAGCUCAACAAUGGCCCCACAGAGAAGGUGGUGAGGGAAUAGUAGUAAAUGCCCUGAAUCUUUUCCCAAAAAUCUGGUCUCGUUCUGGGCUGACCUCACCUGGAUGAAAGAGGCUGUCUGUGGGUAUUGCCCAGGCAAUACCUCCCGGGAGACAGAACAGGAGGAGGAGAAUGCAGAGCACAUCUGGAGGAGCAAAUAGAAGACAUUCGACCCAUCCACCAUCUCACACCACAAAAAAGGACUUCAUUGUUUGCCAACAGUAUGGAUAACACGUGCACAUAAUUGCAUUUUUAAUUUG